AACGAACGCUGGCGGCAGGCCUAACACAUGCAAGUCGAACGCUGUAGCAAUACAGAGUGGCAGACGGGUGAGUAACACGUGGGAAUCUUCCUAUCGGUACGGAAUAGCUCAGGGAAACUUGGGGUAAUACCGCAUACGCCCUUCGGGGGAAAGAUUUAUCGCCGAUAGAUGAGCCCGCGUCUGAUUAGCUAGUUGGUGAGGUAAUGGCUCACCAAGGCGACGAUCAGUAGCUGGUCUGAGAGGAUGACCAGCCACACUGGGACUGAGACACGGCCCAGACUCCUACGGGAGGCAGCAGUGGGGAAUAUUGGACAAUGGGCGCAAGCCUGAUCCAGCCAUGCCGCGUGAGUGACGAAGGUCUUCGGAUUGUAAAGCUCUUUUGGCGGGGACGAUAAUGACGGUACCCGCAGAAUAAGCCCCGGCUAACUUCGUGCCAGCAGCCGCGGUAACAC
rnacentral:rRNA from 1 species